rnacentral:lncRNA from 1 species
UUUCUGCUUGCUGAGUAUUCCUCUCUCUCUCUCCUCUAUUUUCCGUCUUCUCCUCUCUCUCUCUAUUCAUUUCCCUUUUUGGAUUCUUUUGCAAAUUCCUUAAUCCACCUGACAUAUAGUGGUCCCAAGAAUUGUUUGUAGAAUUUUCCUUCUUUACCCAUUUGGUUUUGAGUUGAGUAUUCUUGAUUUCACUUUCUAGCUGCCUUGGUUUUCUUUCGCUUUUUCUCCUGGGCUUAUAAUACAGAAACACAAAGGUUGUCUAUUGUUUUUUUUUUGGG